rnacentral:rRNA from 1 species
GACGAACGCUGGCGGCGUGCUUAACACAUGCAAGUCGAACGGUAAGGCCCUUCGGGGUGCACGAGUGGCGAACGGGUGAGUAACACGUGGGUGAUCUGCCCUGCACUUCGGGAUAAGCCUGGGAAACUGGGUCUAAUACCGGAUAGGACCCUGGGAUGCAUGUCCUGGGGUGGAAAGCUUUUGCGGUGUGGGAUGGGCCCGCGGCCUAUCAGCUUGUUGGUGGGGUGAUGGCCUACCAAGGCGACGACGGGUAGCCGGCCUGAGAGGGUGACCGGCCACACUGGGACUGAGAUCCGGCCCAGACUCCUACGGGAGGCAGCAGUGGGGAAUAUUGCACAAUGGGCGCAAGCCUGAUGCAGCGACGCCGCGUGAGGGAUGACGGCCUUCGGGUUGUAAACCUCUUUCAGCACCGACGAAGCGCAAGUGACGGUAGGUGCAGAAGAAGGACCGGCCAACUACGUGCCAGCAGCCGCCGUAA